rnacentral:lncRNA from 1 species
UGUCCAUCAUCUCCUUCUCCUUGAGAAGAUCUAUCCUCAGAUCUAGAGAUUUGAUCUCGGAUAGCAGCCUCUUGCUUCUUCAACUAUGCUUGCCCUCCCGGAUCAAACGUCCACCUAGGGGAAUUAUCAAAUAAAGCAAAUGAGUUAGUUGAAGCAGUUAUAUACAAAUCAAUUUUAUGAAGUUGCCAUUUUUGUUUUUCUUUUGUUUUUGGCUACUUUUUACAAUAUUUCUCUUUUGAUGGUUGCAUGUGUUCUCUAAUCCUCUCAUGCUUUGUAAAAUUUUCAAUAGUGGUUACUUGUUCCUUAGGCAUAAUNNNN